AGCAUUGUUUCAUUACUGAUUAUGUAGAAUACAUUCCUAGAAUUAUUGAGUUGGAAAGCAUAGAGGCCAGUAGCACCUCUCCACCUAUUUGUGACAUUAAAAAACAUCUAAAACAUUGCCAAAUUCGGUUGCUUGUCUGUACUAUGAGCUCAGGACUUGCUGUGAUUGCAACAGGGGAAGAAGAUUCAUAUCUACACCAAGUACAAACAGGAACCUAAAUCACCAUCCAGAAAUGGCCACAUACAAAUUAGAUUAUCCUUUCCUUGCAUCAGCAAGAGAUUUCACCAGGCCUUGGACCUGGGGACUCCUACAGAACUUCAACAUCAAGUUUCACCUGAAGAUUUCCUUCACAGCGAUACUGAUGCCAUGAAUCAAGCUAUAGAAAUCACCUGUGGUCUCCAGCCCGCAUUCUUGAGCUGGGUGGAAGGCAGGCUUUUGAAUGACCAGGGUGAAAAUGUCGCUGAAAUUAACAGACAACUUGGUCAGAAUCUUGGACUUUCAAAUGGGGGACAGGCAUUUCUCAAGCCGUGUUCCCAUGUGGUAUCUUGUCACGAAGUUGAAGUGGAACCCCUCUCAGCAGAUGAUUGGGAAAUACUGGAGCUGCAUGCUGCUUCUCUUGAACAGCAUCUUCUAGAUCAAAUUCGAAUAGUUUUUCCAAAAGCCAUUUUUCCUGUUUGGGUUGAUCAACAAACUUACGUAUUUAUCCAGAUCGUUGCACUAAUGCCAGCUGUUACAUAUGGAAGGCUGGAAGCUGAUACCAGGCUCCUUAUUCAGCCAAAGACACGCCAGGCCAAAGCAGAAACAUUUUUAAAGGCAGAUGAUACAUGUGGAAAAUUUCAUAGUUAUGGAAGAAACCAAAAAGGAGUGAUAAAAGAAUUUCAAACCAAGCAGCUGCAGUCAAAUACUGUGGCAGUCACUGAGUCUAAUGAGACAAACUCAGUUAACUCACCAUUGAUACCAAGCUUGUGGACUAUGCUAGGAAGCAUUUUUUCUUUUGGAUCUGACAAGAAACAAGAGGCAUCCUGGGGUUCAACUGAAAUCAGCGCUUUCAAAAAUAUGCAGUCAGAGAUGGUUCCUCUGGACAGUAUUUUCAGAGUAUGCAAAUCACAGCCUCCCAGUAUACAUAACACACCAGCAACUUCUGUGUUUCAUAAACACUGUGCUGUUCAUGUAUUUCCAUGGGACCAGGAAUAUUUUGAUGUUGAGCCCAGCUUUACUGUGACCUAUGGAAAGCUAGUUAAGCUACUUUCUCCAAAACAACAGCAAAGUCAGACAAAGCAGAAUAUCCUGUUUCCAAAAAAAGAGAAGCAGAUGACAGAACCACUAGAUCAAAAACAGAAUAGUGCAGAUCAUAGCCAAGAAGCUGAAAAGACCUGUGUGCUAAAGGUAGUCUGGAAUGGACUUGAGGAAUUGAAGAAUGCCAUUACAUACACCAGAAAUGUAGAAGCUCUCCAUCUUGGGAAAGUUUGGAUUCCAGAUGACCUGAGAAAGAAACUAAAUAUAGAAAUGCAUGAAGUAGUCAGAAUAACUCCAGUGGAAAUUACCCCUGAAAUUCCAAGAUCUCUCAAAUUACAACCUAGAGAGAGCCUACCUAAAGAUGUACGUGAAGAAGAUGUAAAAAUGGCCUUCUGUUCAUGGCUGCAGCAGUCUGCUACCACUGUGCUUCCUUUGUUAAUAUCAGAAGAAGAAUUUAUUAAGUUGGAAAUAAAAGAUGAGUUGAAAGAAUUUUCUCUGAGUAUAGUUCAUGGCAAAAAAGAAAAACAAAAAGAAAAUAUUUUUUUGUUGAGUACCAAUCUGCUGCGGAAGACCACAGUACAAGUCCUUCUAGAUCCUGUGGUAAAAGAAGAAAACAGUGAGGAAAUUGACUUUAUUCUUUCUUUUUUAAAGCUGAACUCUUUGGGAGGCGUGACUUCCAUAGGCAGAUCCUUUGUGGAGCACAUCACGCAUAGCCUUCUAGGACGCCCUUUGUCUCGGCAGUUCAUGUCCUUUGUUGCAGGACUUAGGAAUGGAGCCCUUUUACUUACUGGAGGAAAGGGAAGUGGAAAAACCACUUUCGCCAAAGCAGUCUGUAAAGAAGCCUGUGACACACUGGAUGCCCAUAUGGAAAUAGUUGACUGUAAAGCUUUGAAAGGAAAAAGGCUCGAAUAUGUAGAGAAAGCCCUGUGGAUAGCCUUCUCAGAGGCAGUGUGGAGGCAGCCCUCUGUGGUUCUGCUGGACGACCUGGACUUUGUUGCUGGACUGCCCGCCGCCCCAGAACAGGAGCACAGUCCUGAGGCAGUGCAGAGCCAGCGUCUCGCACACGCUGUGAGUGAUAUGAUCAAAGAGUUUAUUUCAAUGGGAAGUUUGGUUGCACUGAUUGCCACGAGCCAGUUUCAGCAUUCUCUGCAUCCUUUACUUGUGUCUGCUCAAGGAGUUCACAUAUUUCAGUGUGUCCAGCACAUCCAGCCUCCUAAUCAGGAACAGAGGUAUGAAAUUUUGUAUCAUAUAAUAAAGAAUAAACUGGGCUAUGAUAUAAGCAAGUUCCCUGAUCUUGACCUGCAGCAUGUAGCAAAAGAAACUGAAGGAUUUGUGGCUAGAGAUUUUACAGUGCUCGUGGAUCGAGCCGUUCAUUCCUGUCUCUCUCGUCAGCACGUAUCUUCUAGGGAAGAAUUAGUUUUCACAACAUUGGACUUCCAAAAGGCUCUCAAAGGAUUUAUUCCGGCAUCGCUGCGAAAUGUCAACCUGCAUAAACCUAGAGACCUCGGUUGGGAUAAAAUUGGUGGAUUGCAUGAAGUUCGGCAGAUACUCAUGGAUACAAUUCAGCUGCCCGCCAAGUACCCAGAAUUGUUUGCAAACUUGCCCAUACGACAGAGAACAGGAAUAUUGUUGUAUGGUCCUCCUGGAACAGGAAAAACUUUACUAGCUAGCGUAGUUGCUCGGGAGAGUGGAAUGAAUUUUAUUAGUGUCAAGGGGCCAGAGUUGCUCAGCAAAUAUAUUGGAGCAAGUGAACAAGCUGUUCGAGAUACUUUCAUUAGAGCCCAAGCUGCAAAGCCCUGCAUUCUAUUCUUUGAUGAAUUUGAGUCCCUUGCUCCUCGAAGAGGUCAUGACAACACAGGAGUCACAGACCGAGUAGUUAACCAGCUCCUGACUCAGAUGGAUGGCGUAGAAGGCUUACAGGGUGUUUAUGUAUUGGCUGCUACUAGUCGCCCAGACUUGAUUGACCCUGCCCUUCUUAGGCCUGGUCGACUAGAUAAAUGCGUAUACUGUCCUGCUCCUGAUCAGGGGUCGCGUCUUGAGAUCUUAAAGGUGCUCAGUGACUCUCUGCCUCUGGCAGAGGAUGUGGACCUGCAGCACGUGGCCGCUGUGACCGACUCCUUCACUGGAGCGGACCUGAGAGCGCUGCUGUACAACGCACAGCUGGAGGCCUUGCAGGCGAGGGUGCUCUCGGGCAGACUGCAGGACGGAAGUUCCAGCUCUGAUAGCGACCUAAGUCUGUCCUCGAUGGUCUUCCUUAACCACAGCAGUGGCUCUGAUGACUCGGCUGGAGAUGGAGAAUGUGGCUUAGAUCAGUCUCUUGUUUCUCUAGAGAUGUCAGAGAUCCUUCCAGAUGAAUCAAGAUUUAAUAUGUAUCGGCUCUAUUUUGGAAGCUCUUACGAAUCAGAACUUGGAAAUGGAACCUCUUCUGAUUUGAGCUCGCAGUGUCUCUCUGCACCCAGCUCUGUGACUCAGGAUUUGCCUGGACUUCCUGGGAAAGAUCAGCUGUUUUCUCAGCCUCCCGUGCUCAGAACUGUUUCCCAAGAGGGAUACCCGGAACUCACCCAAGAGCAGCGAGAUCAGCUGAGGGCGGAUGUCACUGUCAUCAAAGGCAGAUACCGGAGUCAAAGUGGAGAGGAUGAACCCCUUAACCAGCCAGGACCAGUCAAAACCAGUCUGGCUAUUAGUCAGGCACACUUAAUGACUGCCCUUGGACACACAAGACCAUCCAUUAGUGAAGAUGACUGGAAGAACUUUGCUGAGCUCUCAGAAUCAUCUUCAGGUGACUGCCCUUGAGAGCUUUGGCAAGCUGUGAGUUCACAAGCCGCAGGCCCAGGCCAGCAAAGCUGGGGACCAGUCUGGAGCCCCUCUGAAUUUGGCAUCAGAAGAGAUAGGACCUAAGCUGUCGGGAAACCCUAACAAUCCACGCACAUUGGUCCUAAGGGACUGUGAAGAGAACCUGGCGAGAGGCAAGAGUUUAACCACUGCUACUACCAGGAAAAAACCCUCAAAACAAACCCAGGAAGUUAAUUAUGAAGAAAAAUAGAGACUACCUGUUCCUAAUGGUCUCCCUCGAAACUGCAAACUGAAGCCUUUGCCUGGGAAGAAAAACAUACAGAAUGAUGUCACAGAUAUCUGUGGGUGUUGGCCCAAGGGAACCUGACCUUCUCACUUUUUCAAAACAUCGUUAAGACUUUGUCACCAUGAACUUCUAGUAGGUAUGAAUCCCCACUACUCUCCAUUCCUCUCACCUAUGCUUAAAAGCACUUUAGUCUCUGGGCCUACUCUUCUAGACAGCAGAAUCUGUAUAUUCUAUGAGUCCACACACUGCCACUGUCCUCAGCCAUCAAUGCUAUGAUGGUUUGUGUCUAGGUGUCCUGCCAAAACCUCAUGCAGCC